UACGUAGGCAGCAAGCGUUGUUCGGAAUUACUGGGCGUAAAGAGUGUGUAGGCGGUGCUCUAAGUUCGGUGUGAAAUCUCCCGGCUUAACUGGGAGGGUGCGCCGAAAACUGGAGUGCUCGAGCGUGGGAGAGGAAAGCGGAAUUCCUGGUGUAGCGGUGAAAUGCGUAGAUAUCAGGAGGAACACCCGUGGCUAAGGCGGCUCUCUAGUACGGUACUGACGCUGAGACGCGAAAGCGUGGGGAGCGAACAGG
rnacentral:rRNA from 1 species